AGGUAGGACUGUGUCAAAGUCAGGUGGAAGUGCAUCAAAGUCAGGUAGGACUGUGUCAAAGUCAGGUAGGACUGUGUCAGAGUCAGGUGGGACUGUGUCAGAGUCAGGUGGGACUGUGUCAAAGUCAGGUAGGACUGUGUCAAAGUCAGGUGGAAGUGCGUCAAAGUCAGGUAGGACUGUGUCAAAGUCAGGUGGAAGUGCAUCAAAGUCAGGUAGGAUUGUGUCAAAGUCAGGUAGGACUGUGUCAAAGUCAGGUAGAACUGCGUCAAAGUCAGGUAGGACUGUGUCAAAGUCAGGUGGAAGUGCAUCAAAGUCAGGUAGGACUGUGUCAAAGUCAGGUGGAAGUGCAUCAAAGUCAGGUAGGACUGUGUCAAAGUCAGGUGGAAGUGCAUCAAAGUCAGGUAGGACUGUGUCAGAGUCAGGUAGGACUGUGUCAAAGUCAGGUGGAAGUGCAUCAAAGUCAGGU